rnacentral:rRNA from 1 species
CCAGCACCCCGAGUGGUCGGGACGAUUAUUGGGCCUAAAGCAUCCGUAGCCGGUUUUACAAGUCCUCCGUUAAAUCCAACUGCUUAACAGAUGGGCCGCGGAGGAUACUAUAAGACUAGGAGGCAGGAGAGGCAAGCGGUACUCAGUGGUAGGGGUAAAAUCCGUUGAUCCAUUGAAGACCACCAGUGGCGAAGGCGGCUUGCCAGAAUGCGCUCGACGGUGAGGGAUGAAAGCUGGGGGAGCAAACCGGAUUAGAUACCCGGGUAGUCCCAGCUGUAAACGAUGCAGACUCGGUGAUGGACUAGCUUUAUGCUAGUCCAGUGCCGCAGGGAAGCCGUUAAGUCUGCCGCCUGGGUAGUACGGUCGCAAGACUG